rnacentral:rRNA from 1 species
AUGGCGACCUCCCCGGUGCUCUUCCUCCUCCUCGCUGUUUUCGCCGCCGGUGCCAGCGCGGCCACCUUCAACAUCAAGAACAACUGUGGCUUCACAAUUUGGCCGGCGGGCAUCCCGGUGGGUGGGGGCUUCGCGCUGGGCUCAGGGCAGACGUCCAGCAUCAACGUGCCCGCGGGCACCCAAGCCGGGAGGAUAUGGGCCCGCACCGGGUGCUCCUUCAAUGGCGGUAGCGGGAGCUGCCAGACCGGCGACUGCGGCGGCCAGCUAUCCUGCUCCCUCUCCGGGCGGCCACCAGCAACGCUGGCCGAGUACACCAUCGGCGGCGGCAGCACCCAGGACUUCUACGACAUCUCGGUGAUCGACGGCUUCAACCUUGCCAUGGACUUCUCGUGCAGCACCGGCGACGCGCUCCAGUGCAGGGACCCCAGCUGCCCGCCGCCGCAAGCCUACCAACACCCCAACGACGUCGCCACACACGCCUGCAGUGGCAAUAAUAACUACCAGAUCACCUUCUGUCCAUGA